rnacentral:rRNA from 1 species
UAUCUAAUCCUGUUCGCUACCCACGCUUUCGCACCUCAGUGUCAGUACAGAUCCAGGAGGCCGCCUUCGCCACUGGUAUUCUUCAUAAUAUCUACGCAUUCCACCGCUACACUAUGAAUUCUACCUCCCUCUAUCGUACUCUAGUGAGUUAGUUUUGGAUGCAGUUCCUAGGUUGAGCCCAGGGCUUUCACAUCCAACUUAACAAACCACCUACGCGCGCUUUACGCCCAGUAAUUCCGAUUAACGCUUGCACCUUCCGUAUUACCGCGGCUGCUGGCACGGAAUUAGCCGGUGCUUAUUCUGCAGGUAACAUCAAGGUUAUAAGGUAUUAGCUUAUAACUUUUUCUCCCUGCUUAAAGUGCUUUACAACCCGAAGGCCUUCUUCACACACGCGGUAUGGCUGGAUCAGGCUUGCGCCCAUUGUCCAAUAUUCCCCACUGCUGCCUCCCGUAGGAGUCUGGGCCGUGUCUCAGUCCCAAUGUGGCUGAUCGUCCUCUCAGACCAGCUAAAGAUCGUUGCCUUGGUGAGCCUUUACCUCACCAACAAGCUAAUCUUACGCAGGCUCAUCUAGUAGCGAAAGCUUCAAAGAGAGGCCUUCUUUCUCCCGAAGGAGGUAUACGGUAUUAAUCCGGGUUUCCCCGGGCUAUCCCCUUCUACUAGGUAGAUUCCUACGCGUUACUCACCCGUCCGCCGCUGUACUCGUAUCCGAAGAUACUUUCUCGCACGACUUGCAUGUGUUAAGCCUACCGCCAGCGUUCAAUCUGAGCCAGGAUCAAACUCU